AUAAUAAUAAAAUAAAAUAAAAAAAAGACUAUAUAAAAAAAUGCUUAAAAACCAGUAAGAAAAUUUUGGCAAACCACCUCACAGGAAAAAAUGGGCAAAGUUAUAAACAAAUAUUUUAUAGAAUAUGAUAAACAAGCAAUAAAUAUGUAGAUUUCAAGCACGCUAGUAAACAGGUAAAUGCUAAUUAAAAUAUAUGAUAUAUUGACAAAAAUUUAAGUCUGAAAGUGUCAAGUUUCAACAAAAAGUAAAAACAAGUGGAAUUCUUUUAUACUGCUAUGAAAGGUAAAUUGAGUAUGACCAUUUGGAAAACAAUUUGGUUACCUAAUAAAUUUCAAGCUGCUUAUGUCAGUUUUCUAAAAUUGCCAAAAUAAAUUAUCUCAAGUUUAGCAGCUAAAAUAAUGCUAUCUCACAGUUAGGAAGUCAGAAGUUGAGCGAGCUCAGCUGGGAAUUCUGCUUAGGAUCUCACAAUGCUGAAAUCAAGGUGUCGGCCAGCUUGUGUUCUUAUCUGGAGGCUCAGGUUGAUAGCAAACAUAAUUUAAUUCCUUCUCACGGUUUCCACGUGGCCUCCAUGUCUUCAAGUCAGCAACAAGUAGGUUGAGUGCCUCUCACUCUACAAGUGUCUAACUUUCUCUUGCAUUGCAUCUCUUCUGCCUUUAAAGGGUCACAUGAUUAUAUUAGGUGUACCUACAUAGACUAAGAUAAUCUUCCUAUCUUAAGGUCAGCUAAUUAGCAUGAUUAGUAAUUUUAGUUACAUCUGCAAAGUUCCUUUUGCCACAUAACACAACAUAACAUAACUAUAGUUGUGACAUCAGAGAGUGAGGAUCAUGGAGGCAGAAUUUUGCUUUCACAGUUCACCCUUUGGCCUUCAUGAUCCAUGGUCCUCCCAUAUAAAAACACAUUCACUCCCUGCCCAGGUCCCUGAAGAUCUCAUCACAUUAUAACACAAAUUCAGUUCAAAAAUUCUGCUUCCAACACAUGAUGGGUCAAGCAUAGGAUAACAGUUAUAUACAUUCCAUGGAUCUGAGAGAGACUUCACUUCCAAGUUCAUUCAUGUUGUUGGCAAAAUUCAUUUUCUUCUCAUGAUUUCCAUGUGGCUCCCUACAUCUUCCAGCCAGGAAAGGAAGAUCAAAUCCUUCUCAUUCUUUCAAUCUCUUAGACUUCCCCACCUACUGCAUCUCUCCGACUUCCUAGUCUGCCUUUCUCUUCUGUUUUGAAGGGCUCAUGUAAGUACAUUAAGCCCACCCUCAUCUUGAGCUCAACGUAUUAGUAACCUUAACUAUACCUGUAAACUUCCUCCUGCCAUGCAAAGUAGCCUAACUAUGGGUGUGACACCACAUAGCUAAGAUCAUGAGAGCCAAAAUUCUUCCUUCUACCCUGCACAUACCCGUAAUCUCACAAUUCCAUUCCUAGGCAUAUAAGACAUAUAAGUUUUAUUGCAGUAUUGCGUAUAUAAAAAAAAACCUAAAAACUACUAAAAAAGCCUAUCAACUUGAUGUUAGGUAAAUCUGUUUAUAAUUCAUAAAAUAGAUUAUUACAGAACAAUGAGAAAAAGACUAAACUACAACAAAAAAAGCUCGUUGACUAGAUACUAGGCAAAUCUAUUUGUAAUUCAUAAAAUUGACAUAGCAAUAAAAAAUGAAUAAACUAGGGCUUCACAUAUUACAUGGAUGGUUCUCACAAAUUAUUUUAAGCAAAAAAAUCAAGUCACAAAAAUAUAUACAGUAAGAUUUCAGUUAUAUAAAUUAAGAAACAUAAAAAAAGUCAAACUUAGGUUCCAUAAUAUAAUUGUUUAAAAGACAUGUAUUGGCCAGGCAUGGUGGCUCACAUUUGAAGUCCCAGCACUUUCAGAGGCUGAGACAGGAGGAUCACUUGAGGCCAGGAGUUUGAGAUCAGCCUAGUCAACAUAGUGAGAAUAUGUCUCUACAAGAAACAAACAAACAAACCAAGGUUUUUAAUUAGCUGGGUGUGGUGGUGCACACCUGUAGUCCUAGCUAUUUGGGAGGCUGAGGCAGGAAGAUCUGUUGAGCCCAUGAGUUCGAGGCUGCAGUGAGCUAUGAUUGUGCCACUGCAUUCCCACCUGGGUGACAGAGCAAGAUUCCAGCUCUUAAAAUAAUGUAUGUAUGACGGUAACCACCCCCAUGAUUCAAUUACCUCCCAUUGGGACCCUCCCACAACAAUUGGGAAAAGAAUGAUAGAGGGGAAAAAAGACUGGAAUAUGACUUCUGGCUAUCUAACCUAGAAAACUGUCUAGUGAUGCUAUCACAGAAAUAAAAUAGAGCGGGAGGAGUUUUGAGGUAUAAAUGAUAAAUUCAAUUUUGGGGCUUAUUCAAUUUGAGAUUUCUUUGGGACAUCUAUGUUCAGUGGGCAGUUGUGCCAAGGGGAGAAAUAUAAUUGUUAUAAGACAUGAACAUUGAUGGCAUAAAGUUGACUGUUAAAAUCAGGGACAUGUAAUAGAUCACUCAGGUUAAUAUACACUGCAGGCAGUAGGUUUAAACUUUGUUGAUUCACAGACACAUUUGAGACUCCAUUAAGAGCUACAGAAAUUUUCAGGAAAAGAUUUUCACCCAGAAUUCUGCAUAAAAUUCCAGGUCAUUCUUAGGCCUGCGAAAGACAGUGUGAAAACUAUCGAGAGAGCCAGAAGAAAACCUCAGAGAGAUGGUGUCAUGAAAGCAAAGGAAGAGGAGAUUCAAGGAAGAAGUGGUCAAGAUUUCCAAUAGCCACAGAGAGGCCAAAUAUGAUAACUGCAAGCACCUGGGGUACAUGACACGGAGGAGGUCCCUGACUCCAGGUAUGCCACUGGAGUGGAAUCAUGAAGAAUGAGUUGAAGAGGGAGUAGUAGCUGAGUAGUUGUACAAGAAGAGUCUUUGUUUUUUUUUUUUUGACAGAGUCUCACUCUGCUGCCCAGGCUGGAGUGCAGUGGUUAUUGAUCAGGCUGGUCUUGAACUUGUGACCUCAGACCUGAAUUUUAAAAACUUUCCUCAACUAAAAAUAAAAGAUGCAUGCAAGUACAGUUUAAAACUAAUGAUUUAGCAGACCUGCUUAAGAAAGAAAAAUUGGUAAUUUAAAACAAACAAAAUGUAGCUGUAUUUGUGAAUGUCCACUUACUAAACUGCUGUCCAUGUUUAGAACUUCCAAUUGCCUUCCUAUAUUUAGACUGUCUUGGCUCUGUUCUGGAAAAUAGUUGAGCCCUGUUUAUCUCAGAUAAAGGUGGGCCACUGGACUGUGCUUGAGGAAGAGUUGCAUGGGUAACAGACACCAGGAAGGAACCUCAUCCUUGAAAUGACCUAAAUCAGAAUGGGUGUUCCCUGGGAGCUCUUCUUGCAUCUAGAGAUAUUCUUGACUCUUCAGUAAAUGAUUCUGUAUUACUAAAGUGAUACCAAAUUUUUAAAUUUCGUUUAAAGUUACACAUUAAUUUAUUCUUUUUUUUUUUUUUUUUUUUUUUGUGAGAGACAAAGUCUCGCUCUGUCUCCCAGGCUGGAGUGCAGUGGUUCGAUCUCAGCUCACUGCAAGCUCCGCCUCCUGGGUUCAUGCCAUUCUCCUGCCUCAGCCUCCCGAGUAGCUGGGACUACAGGCACCCACCGCUACGCCCGGCUAAUUUUUCGUAUUUUUAGUAGAGACAGGGUUUCACUGUGUUAGCCAGGAUGGUCUCGAUCUCCUGACCUCGUGAUCCUCCUGCCUUGGCCUCCCAAAGUGCUGGGAUUACGGGCGUGAGCCACUGCGCCUGGCCAAUUUAUUCAUUUUUUUGAAGGCAAUAUAAUGCUGUGGUUAAGCAUGCAGGCAUGAAAGCCAAACACCCUGUAUUUGAACUUAGUUUUUUCAGAAUCUUGUCUCAGUUUCUCCCUCUGAUGAAAUGGGUAUAAUAACAGUACUUGUCUAGCUCGUAAUAGUGCUAUGAAGGUUAGAGGAGUCAAUAGAUGCAAAGCCAGUAGAAUAGUAACUGAUUUUUUUUUUAAUUAUACUUUCAGUUCUGGGAUGCAUGUGCAGAAAGUGCAGGUUUGUUACACGGUGGUUUGCUGCCACCCAUCAACCAUCAUCUAGGUUUUAAGCCCCACAUGCAUUAGGUGUUUUUCCUAAUGCUCUCCCUCCCCUGGUCCCCCACCCCAUGACAGGUGCUGGUGUGUGAUGUUCCCCUCCCUGUGUCCACGUGUUCUCAUUGUUCAACUCCCUCUUAUGAAUGAGAACAUGUAGUGUUCGGUUUUCUGUUCCUGUGUUACUUUGCUGAGAAUGGUUUCCAGCUUCAUCCAUGUCCCUGCAAAGGACAUAAACUCAUCCUUUUUUAUGUCUGCACAGUAUUCUAUGGUGUAUAUGUGCCAUAUCUUCUUUAACCAGUCUAUCAUUGAUGGGCAUUUCGGUUUCUUGAGUUAAUUUUUGUAUAAGGCAUAAGGAAGGGAUCCAGUUUCAGUUUUCUGCUCACGUCUGUAAUUGCAGCACUUUGGGAGGCCGAGGCAGGCGGAUCACAAAGAAAAGAAAAAUAGAAACUCAUCUGAAUAAAUUAGUUUUAUUUAGAAAACUAUUCAGAACAUAUUUUUCAUCUGUCCAUUUUUCCUCAUCUUCCUAACCCAAACAACUAUCUGUUAACCACAUACA
rnacentral:tRNA from 10 species